rnacentral:rRNA from 1 species
GACGAACGCUGGCGGUGUGCUUAACACAUGCAAGUCGAACGGUAAGGCCCUUUCGGGGGUCCACGAGUGGCGAACGGGUGAGUAACACGUGAGUAACCUGCCCUCAUCUCUGGGAUAACAGUCGGAAACGGUUGCUAAUACUGGAUAUGAGCCUGCAAGGCAUCUUGUGGGUUGGAAAGAUUUUUUGGUUGGGGAUGGACUCGCGGCCUAUCAGCUUGUUGGUGAGGUAGUGGCUCACCAAGGCUUCGACGGGUAGCCGGCCUGAGAGGGCGACCGGCCACAUUGGGACUGAGAUACGGCCCAAACUCCUACGGGAGGCAGCAGUGGGGAAUAUUGCACAAUGGACGGAAGUCUGAUGCAGCAACGCCGCGGGCGGGAUGACGGCCUUCGGGUUGUAAACCGCUUUCAAUUGUGACGAAGCUUUUUGUGACGGUAGCAGUAGAAGAAGCACCGGCUAACUACGUG